CGUUAGCGGCGGACGGGUGAGUAACACGUGGGUAACCUACCUAUAAGACUGGGACAACUUCGGGAAACCGGAGCUAAUACCGGAUAAUAUGUUGAACCGCAUGGUUCAAUAGUGAAAGAUGGUUUUGCUAUCACUUAUAGAUGGACCCGCGCCGUAUUAGCUAGUUGGUGAGGUAACGGCUCACCAAGGCAACGAUACGUAGCCGACCUGAGAGGGUGAUCGGCCACACUGGAACUGAGACACGGUCCAGACUCCUACGGGAGGCAGCAGUAGGGAAUCUUCCGCAAUGGGCGAAAGCCUGACGGAGCAACGCCGCGUGAGUGAUGAAGGUCUUAGGAUCGUAAAACUCUGUUAUUAGGGAAGAACAAACGUGUAAGUAACUGUGCACGUCUUGACGGUACCUAAUCAGAAAGCCACGGCUAACUACGUGCCAGCAGCCGCGGUAAUACGUAGGUGGCAAGCGUUAUCCGGAAUUAUUGGGCGUAAAGCGCGCGUAGGCGGUUUUUUAAGUCUGAUGUGAAAGCCCACGGCUCAACCGUGGAGGGUCAUUGGAAACUGGAAAACUUGAGUGCAGAAGAGGAAAGUGGAAUUCCAUGUGUAGCGGUGAAAUGCGCAGAGAUAUGGAGGAACACCAGUGGCGAAGGCGACUUUCUGGUCUGUAACUGACGCUGAUGUGCGAAAGCGUGGGGAUCAAACAGGAUUAGAUACCCUGGUAGUCCACGCCGUAAACGAUGAGUGCUAAGUGUUAGGGGGUUUCCGCCCCUUAGUGCUGCAGCUAACGCAUUAAGCACUCCGCCUG
rnacentral:rRNA from 1 species